rnacentral:lncRNA from 1 species
CUUGACGGUGUCCAUCUCCAUGGAGGAUAGUGGAUUCUGGAGCCAGGAAACCAGAGAGCAUGUUGUCAGGCUAAAUGUAGAGCUUUUCCGACUCUGCAGCCUUCCUCAAGCUACUCCCAGGGGAACAGACCACUAGCCACAGUGUUCUUGAAUUCUUCCACACCCUUCCAAGGAUGUUGACCUUCUGCCCAGAGGUUUCACCCGACAGAGAGUUGUCCUUCUGUAACAGUCAAUAAAUAGAAACCGACACAUGCGUAUAUGAGGAGAAAAUGAAUGGAGUAACCAGAACUGCCUGCUGUAAACCAAAUGAUGUGCAAUAUUACUGAUUUCCAUCUUCUCAAACUGAUGUUUUAACCGUUUAAUGAAGCUUAAAUGAUAGAACGAAUUAAACACGAUUAGCGUGGUCCCUGACAUGCAAUAGGUGUGCACAACAGAUACUGGCUGCUAUUUUAAUGUUUCUAAAAUCUCCCCCAAUGAUGUCCUCAUUUUGAAGGUGAGACUUUAUCUGCACCCCUCGCAAGACAUUUAACUGCACGUGGAUUGUAUUCCCUUCUGAACUACUGGCUGGUGUCAUUCUCUAAGCUUAACUCAAUUCCAGGUUCGUUGAGAGCAGACUCCACGACUUCUGUCUCCUUGUUUGCUGGUGCACAGUAGGUCCGUCCAUUCGACAUUGCUUGUCUAUUCGGAGCCAGG